rnacentral:snoRNA from 1 species
AAACCAUGAUGAGGACAACGACGCUGCAAAUCCUUGAACCUUUCCUAAGCUUCAUACAAUGACUCGCCAGGAUCUUGGGUGAAGUUACUAUGGUGU